GGAAAGCAAGAGUGCUUCCUGAGGAGGGUCCUUCUCAUGGACAGCAAAGAUGUUUCUAUGAGUUCAGCUGCAGCUUGGCGAUCUUUCUUGGGAAGCUGAUCUCCUAUCCCCCGGGCCUCCUGACUACAGCCUGGCUCAUCGCUGAGCUGGGAAAGAUGCACUACCAACCUCAGUGUCACCCAGGUGCCUCCAAUCAGCGAAGUCCAAACUGAAGCCAGACCCCAAGGAAGCCCAGCUGAUGCAGUCCCUAGAUAUCAGCCUCCCAGGGCAGAAAACAGUGUCAAAAGGGAUAGAGAAUGUUAUGCAGAGGGACGAGACAAGGAUGACCCAACCACGCUGCAACGUGCUAUAGUAAAAGAUUUCACCUCAAAUAUCCGGAGCUGACUUGCUGGAUUUGCACUCUGGCUCCAAUACUUCGACCACCUAACGCAAAGAACUGACUCAUUGGGAAAGACCCUGAUGCUGGGAAAGAUGGAAGGCAGGAGGAGAAGGGGACAACAGAGGAUGAGACGGUUGGAUGGCAUCACUGACUUGAUGGAUGAGUUUGAGCAAGCUCUGAGAGUUGGUAUAGGAUGGUCAAUCCUGGCAUGCUGCAGUCCAUAGGGUCACAAAGAGUCGGACAUGACCGAGCGACUAAAUUGAACUGAACUGGGU
ensembl:lncRNA